GUGCUAAGGUAGCAUAAUCAUUUGUCUUUUAAUUUAAGACUAGAACAAAAGAUUUAACAUUUUAAUUAAUAUACUUAGAAUAAUUAUUAAAAUUAAUUUUAAUGUCAAAAAGCAUUAAUUUUAAAGAAAGACGACAAGACCCUAUUGAACUUAACUUAAGUUAAACUGGGGCAGUUUUUUAAUUAAAAUUUUACUUUAAAUAUUAAUAAAAAAAUCUAUAAUAAUAAUAAUCAAGUUACCAUAGGGAUAACAGCGUAAUAAUUAUCUAAAGUUCUUAUUUAAAUAUUAGAUUACGACCUCGAUGUUGAAUUUAUAACCUAUUCAUAAGCAAAUUUUUAAAAAGGAAGUCUGUUCGACUUUUAAAAAAUAACAUGAUUUGAGUUCAGACCGGCGCAAGCCAGGUCGGUUUCAAUCUUCUAUUAACAUAUUAUACAGUACGAAAGGACCUAUAGAAUUAAUUUUAUUAGAAAAUUGGCAGAUAAAUGCAUUAGAAUUAGAAUCUAAUAAAACUAAA
rnacentral:rRNA from 1 species